rnacentral:rRNA from 1 species
GAUGAACGCUGGCGGCGUGCCUAAUACAUGCAAGUCGAGCGAACGGACGAGAAGCUUGCUUCUCUGAUGUUAGCGGCGGACGGGUGAGUAACACGUGGAUAACCUACCUAUAAGACUGGGAUAACUUCGGGAAACCGGAGCUAAUACCGGAUAAUAUUUUGAACCGCAUGGUUCAAAAGUGAAAGACGGUCUUGCUGUCACUUAUAGAUGGAUCCGCGCUGCAUUAGCUAGUUGGUAAGGUAACGGCUUACCAAGGCAACGAUGCAUAGCCGACCUGAGAGGGUGAUCGGCCACACUGGAACUGAGACACGGUUCAGACUCCUACGGGAGGCAGCAGUAGGGAAUCUUCCGCAAUGGGCGAAAGCCUGACGGAGCAACGCCGCGUGAGUGAUGAAGGUCUUCGGAUCGUAAAACUCUGUUAUUAGGGAAGAACAUAUGUGUAAGUAACUGUGCACAUCUUGACGGUACCUAAUCAGAAAGCCACGGCUAACCACGUG